AUGCGGAUUAGGGGGAGGCUGGGUGCAUGGGGCGGGCAAAGCACCGUCGACCCGUCACCGGUCGCGGUGAGCGAGCUCGGUGAGUUCGGGGAUGAGCUCGCCCGUGAGAUGCGAGAAGGGCGAGGGCGGAUGGGUCGGGCAGGCAAGAUUUACUCGCCCCAGGCCCUGGUGUCGGCGUGGAGCAGCCUGCUGGGUGUGUGCCGGCUGCACCAGAAUGUGGAGCUCGGCGAGAUCGCCGCCGAGUGGCUCUUCGAGCUGGAGCUCGGCGAGGCCAGCCACUACGUGCUGCUCUACAACAUGUACUCCGCCGUCGGGAUGUGGGAGAAGUCGGUGGCAGUGCGGGCGAGCAUGCAGCGGCAGGGCGUGGGCAAGGAGCCCGGGUGCAGCUGGGUCGAGCUCGACGGCGCGAUCCACCGGUUCAUGGCCGGCGAGUCGUCCUCGUCCCACCCGGCAAGCGCCGUGGUGCACGCGCACAUGGACGCGCUCUGGGAGCUGAUGCGGUGCGAGGGGUACGCGCCCGACUGGUCGUGCGUGCUCCACGAUGUUGACGAGGCCCAGAAGGCGGCCAUGCUCCAGUACCACAGCGAGAAGCUCGCCAUCCCCUUCGGGCUACUGCGGGCGCCGCCCGGCGUGGCCAUCAAGGUGGCCAAGAACCUGAGGGUGUGCAACGUCAGAGCAAAGGUCCACACGUUCAGGGCCUUCCCCACAACGUUUGCCUUGCCGCCGGCAAUGCGUACAAAUGUGCACCAUGAUAGUGACAGAGCGAAGGGCAUGCCAAAGAAUCAAUCUAGAGCAAGCUAG
rnacentral:rRNA from 1 species